rnacentral:lncRNA from 1 species
GACGCUUCCCUCCCACCGGGGGUCAACGGCCUUUUCCGGCCCAAACCCGCUCCUCGGCUCAUGAAUAGUCAACGAGGCCUUUCUGGGCGGGACCAGAGGUUUCCUCAUGAAUAAUUCAUGACCCGUCCACGGCUAGCCUGGGCGACCGGCCUCGCUAGACUUCAUGAAUAUGCAAAGCAGGGGCGAACGGCGGCUAGCCGGCCCCUAGCCCGCCCGGCCCCUCAGCAGCCGCCUCUCAGCCACGGGCUGCACACUGACCCGACGCGACCUUCGGUCAGGGGCCGCCAGCCUGGGCCACCUAUACAACGACAGCCUGCUCCGGGGCUUCCUGAGGAGGUGCCUGCCCCGCCGAGGUUCAACAGCUUUGGAGAGCAGGACAUCUUUUCCUCUCAGCCUGGCCCUCUGCAAUGGAGGCCAUAAAUAGGCCAGUAGUGGAAGCUACAGAACACGUGAGCAUGGCAGGGGCUGAGCUCCAUUUCAAGGUCUUGCCCUGUCAUCCAGGCUGGAGUGCAAUGGAUCUUGGAUCACUGCAACCUCCACCUUCCAGGCUCAAGUGAUCCUCCUGCCUCAACCUCCCAAGUAGCUGGGACUACAGUUCAAGGAAAGAAGCAAACUUAUUAUUUAAGAGCAAUGCAAAAUGAAAGCCAAGGCCAAGGACUUACUUUCCCGGAUCUGGCAUCUGAGUGCACAGCAACCGCAGAGACUGAAAACUCCUCCGAAUAGAAUGAAUGUUUGCCAUCCCCAUAAACACAACUUCACAGUUUGGGUAAUACUCUGGAGAGAGUAACAAUAAAGAGAACACAAAUACGUUGAACUUAAAGCCCACAUGGCCAAAUUUAAAAGCAAACUGGCUAUAAAACAAACCCACUGCAGCUUCUGAUUAACGAAACUGAAAUGUUUUGAAAUGCUUAACUAUUAGCCCAAUCCUUUAUAAUAAGAGGAACACACUGAAUUUUAGCUAUCUUUUCAAAAAGCGUGAAAAGGGAAGGUUAGAUUUGUAAAGAAGAUACUGACAUAAAAUAAAAGCUAUUAUUUUUUAAAAGAAAGGCCUACUUCGAUCUCACUCUGGCUUUACUUCUUGGGCCUUAUCUAACUUGUGGCUUUGAAAUCUCUUUGAAAAGAACUCCACAGAACAAUGCGUUCACACAUUCAAAUUUCACCUUGGUACAGCUGCUUUCAAUUUCCAGCUUAGACCACAUCUGAACAAAGAGCCUGGUGCCUCUGCCUGUGCCAUAGGCACUGAGGGGGGUCCCUCCUUGGGGAAAGCUAGCAUUCCAACAGUAAUGGUGUUACAGCUCAGGACAGAGAUACCUUACUAGGGUUCUGUAUUUACUGCUUCAAUUUUCACCCCAGGUUUUCUAAGGAGAGGCCCUUGAGGAGUUUGCUACAAGGCCAGUGGUGAGCAUACCCUCUGUCAAAGGCAACAAAAAGCUUUUAGACGGCUGAGAAAUUGAGCCCACUAAAGCAGCAGCUUCCAAACAUGAACAGGUCUUAUUAUGGGGAAGAUCUGCUUUCCUUAUCACCUACAAGUUGGCACAAGGAAGGAAGAUUAUGUGACUUCACUGCACCUCCUCCUCCAUUUCUCCUCAGAAAAGAACAUACAGUGUUAAGAAUCCAAAGAGAAGCUCUGGCACUCUCACGACAGGAUGGAUGAGGAAUAUGGCUUGCCACUUAUUUCAAAUUGGGAACUAAGUCUCAGUUGGGCAAGGGCUACACUCACAAGGAGAAAGUAUGGGGAACAAAGCACCAUACACCUCACCUGGGCAUUCGCAGCCUCCUCCUUUGGCUCGGUUUGCCACAGCAGCUGCAUAGGAGCGUGCAUCCAAGAUCAAAAGCUUCUGCGGUUGGAUGGCUAAACUCUCUGCUCCUGAAGCAUUUGACAGAGAAGAAUCUAGGGACACAGAGGGAGAGGGCAUACUAAAUGAGCCUGUCUCUCCCAGAACUGUGCAGAAUUAGACCCACAAGCACAUCUUAUGGCACAAAAAAGGCUCAAUAAAAUGAAAUCCCCUAACCAAAACCCUUGAUACAUAGGAUUUUUCUCUUUUUUUCUAUGUGGCCUUCUUAUGAAAGAUGAGAAGGAUUUAUUCUCCAAAACUGACUCCCAGAGUACACAUGGGGUUCACACAGCCCAGUCUCUUAUACUUCAUUUCUGUAUCUGUUGUCCUUUCAUGAAGCCUGGCAUUUCCUGCCAUGGUCUGCAGAUACUGCAAGUCCUCUAUUACAUAAACACUCCAUUUUUGUCACAAUGGCAAGAAAGACAACAAACACACUAAUAUCUUGAUUCAGGUUUGAAACAAAGGGUCUUCUGAUUCUCUGCCAAGACCCAUGACUCCUCAAUCAAUCCCAUCAAGUGAAGCUCUGCACAUUCACUUCUAUAAAAGUAAAUCUAUGUCUUGUAAGGAAGAGGCCAUUUCAAGAAAAGGUUCUUAGAUGCUAUAAAAAUCAUUGCCAUGGGUCCAGGGAGCACCUUACCGAACUCCACGUCAGAAAGGUCUCCCCCAUUGGGAAAGUCUCGAGAAGUGUUCCUAGUUGACAGCUUGCUGCCACUCGAUCGGGAGUCAGAGGCACAAGCUUUGGCUACUGACUGUACCAGAUGCUCAUCAUCUGCAUUUCGCCAGCCCCACCAGCUAACCUCUGGCUGUCCACAGCGGGCAAUGACAGCUCCAUUGCUCUGGUGCCUGUGUGAGGAACAAGAGACAACAACUGUACCCAUUCAGAUGCUCUCUGUACUCACACAAAAUAGAUUUUAAGUGCCUUAAUGAACAGUCUAAUUCUAGGUAAGUGUUGGGUCAGCUUCAAGUCCUCUCAGUAUUAAAGAGGGUAGAAAUCUUACACAACCAACAAGAACAAACAACAAAACCUGUGUGUCUUUCUCAAUUACCAUAACAUCACGGAGAUCCCUGUAAAGUUACCCAAAAAAAUGACUAACAGGGGUCAGGCAUGGAGGCUCACUCUGCAAUCCCAGCACUUUGAGAGGCUGAGGCAGGAGGAUCACUUGAGCCCAGGAGUUCAAGACCAGCCUGAGCAACAUAGCAAGACCCCAUCUUUACAAAAAAGUUUUUACAAAUUAGCCAGGCAUGGUAGCACAUGCCUGUAGUCGCAGCUACUCAGGAGGCUGAGGUGGAAGGAUCCCUUGAACCCAGAAGGCUGAAGUUGCAGAAAGCUAUGAUUGUGCCACUGCACUCCAGCACUCCAGCUUGGGUGACAGAGCAAGACCCCAUUUCCAAAAAACAAAAAAGAAUUAAUGUGUACUCUUAGUGAAAAUAAAUCAAUAUUCGUAACUUAAAUCUAUAGGUACUACACUAAUUCUGCUACCCAAUAGUGAAAUCUGCUACCUUCUUAAUGCUGAACCAAGAGCCCGCCUCUGGGAAUAAAACAUUUACCUGGCCCACAGUGAACUGCUUUACAAAAUCUCCUGAGAUUUCAUGAGUCACAGACUGCUCUUAUAAUAGGCAGAUAGCUCAAUGAGCCAGCUACCCUUCCUAGGGCUCUUAAGAAAGAGAAGAAGAGCAUCAACCUCAGAAAACCAUACUCUGACAUAUCCUUUUCCAAUAAGACAGACCAGAAAUCACAGUCUACUUUAAGGUGCUAUUAAAACCCAGACUUUUCCUAGUUAGGCAAUUUUAACUGAUAAAAAGUUAGAAAAAUUCUAUUACUUGGCAGUAAAGAGGAAUAAAGUUCUGAUACAGGCUAGGACACUGAUGAACCUCAAAUAUGUUAUGACAAGUGAAAGAAGUCAGUCACAAAAGGCAACUUAUUGUACGACAAUUAACAUGAAGUAUCCAGAAUAGGCGAAUCUAUAAAGAUGGAAGUAGAUUUCUGCAUGUAGUGACUAUUAUAAACUCGUAGUUACUUAAGGGAGCUUGCCUAAUUCUAAGUUGGGGUUACUUAAAACGAGUAUGUUUCUAUAUAAAACUGAAGCACUCUAUGUUUUACUAGCAGGGGCUUCAUCCAUUGGACAUCUUAAUUAUUCAGGGCUAGGGUGGCUGGGUGCCCUGUGAAUGGGUUUUUUGGGACGAUGAAAAUGUACUGUAAUUUGUUUUUACUCCUAAAACUCACAAAUAAGUUAAAUUUGGCACUAAUCAAAUUCCACUGAAAUCACCAGUUUGCUUGUAGUUUUUAAAGCCUCCCUCCCUGGGAGACAAGUAGCUGUAAGUACUUGUGUAUUGCCAACAUGCUCAACUGGCUCACGUGCUGAAUGGGGCCAAAAUAGAAAUAAAACCUCAAUGAUUCUUUAUAAAAUGUCUCCUAGCAAAUAACAGGCAACCACUGAGCUGAAUGACUCCAAACCCUGCACAAGAGGCUGGUUGGGCCUUUCCUGAACAUCCUCCUCUUCUUCAAUGCUUCCCAGCAGUGCCCAAGAGGAGCAGUAGAUGGCGCUCUUCAGCCUGGAUCUUGGGUUUUAGGGGACACUGCAUUAUAGUAGCUAUUAGAUUUCAACUGGACUAUUGCAAUAAACAAUUAUGUUUUCUGCAGUCUUCUAAAAUGCUUCAGACUACAUGAAAGAUAAUUCAAACACUACAGUUAAAAAUCACUAAAGGAAUGCAUUUCUAUCACUAACAGAACCAGGCAAAGUAUAAAAAUUAUGAUGUCCAACAGAUAAAGCCCUCCCUACUAAAACACAGAAUGCUUCAAUUUUAUAUAGGAACAGAAUUGUCUUAAGUAACCUCAACUUAGAUUUAGGCAAGCUCCCUUAAGUAACUAGGAGUUUAGAAUAAUCACCACAUGCACAAAGGAAAAAGCUGUGAACUGCACUACAGAUGGGUGCCCUUUACAUCAUCUUGCUAUGUUAGAGCAAUCUCUACCUUCAGUUAUAAAUCCAAUUAAGUGCUCUCUCAUCACAGUAGGACAAAGCCCUAAUCAAGCGCUGGUUCAGCAUGGUGCUGUCAAGUAACUGCUGCUGGCAACCUCAGGAAUCAUGACCCAAUCUACAGACAACUAAAUUCAGGAAAUGGAUGUCAAGAGUUCCAGGCAUCCUGCCACCUAGGCUGGCAAAGCAGAGCAUGGUGGAGGAUCCGAUUCUUCCACACGCCCCUUACAAAGCUCCCAAAUACUACAGCAACCCAGUCUGCAUCUCAGCGAUACAAGACACAUGUUCUGAGACAGAGCCCAGUUCCAGGAAACCUGCCUGAUUUUGCAUGGAUGACUACACCAAGAACUUUGUGAUCUUUUGAAAGACUUUCUCUGAAAAACUGCAAAUAAAAUUUUUCAUUUAUAUAUCCUCUUGUAUCUCUAGAAAAAGGGGGGGAAAACCUAGGGUGCAUGCCCUCUAGAAUUAAUUUUAGAAGGUGCAUGCCCUCUAGAAUAAAAUUUAGAAAAAAAGGAAGUUUUUCUUCAACCAGCCCUCUUAAGCUUCUCUUCCCAAAGGGAGAAUUCACCUAAAGCCUCUUAUUUUGCAAAUAAGAGUACCUUCCCCCUUUUGGUCAAAGUCAGCAAGCCCCACAGAUGCCAGGGCUGCUGACCUAACACAGUUGUUGGCCAGAGCAGCAACUGGCUGCUUUCCCCAUUCCAGCUGAGCUGAUCAUUGAUAAGACUCAUAAAUCCCUUCAGCUUUCACUACUCUCUAGUUCCUGUAGCAUCCUUACCACUUGAAUGACAGGUAAAUUUGGUGACUGACUUUUCUAGGGGUGUCUGAAAACAACAGUGAUGAGAAUUGAGAUUAAAAACGUAAUGAGUUCCACUGGGCCAGAGCAAAUACUUUUCCAUCUCUCUCCAUUCAGAGUGGGCAUCAGAGUUUGCCUUUAGUAGACUAAAUGAACAAGCUGGUUACCUCUGUAGGAAUUCCACAAGGAGACAAAUCCCUUCCUACAAUCUCAAUAUUUCAGUGGAAUGAAGUUUCUAACUGUAAGCCACUGGAUUGGCCCAACUCAGGGAGAGUCCAAAAAGCCGGCAAACUGGGAAAAUGAAAUGGAGAAUGUAAACAUUACAAAGAGAUGACAUCCAAAACAUUUCCAGAAUAAGAAGGAAGGACUUCUUUAAAAUUUAAUAGGAUUCUGUGAGAACUAAGAUAUUCAAUGAAUUACAAAAGCAGCACUCAAGAGAUUUAACCUAUUCCAAAUGCUGGUACAGAAGCUCAGUGUUUAUAGCCCCUCAUUUAGAAUCAGAACAUAUCUACAAAAUAAGAACUACCAUUCCCAUUGUAUUCAUUAGGAACAGACUGAGGUCAGUUAGGGAACUUAUUCAAGGUGCCUUAGCAAGAAGUCUAAGAAUAUACCUGAAUUCAGAUCUGUGAUUCCAAAAUCUGUGCUCCAUCACCAUGCCACCAUCCCCAUCUAGAACUUGCAUCCCAUGGCUCUCAUGCCUCUGAUCACUGAAAUCUUCUAUCUAGUCAUGCCUCAGUCUUCUUCUCUAAAUGCUUCCUCUCGAAACAGAGUUCUUCCACAUGUCAAAGUUUCAACCACAAAGACAAUCAGAGCCAACUCGACCCUAUAUUCCCAAAGAUCACUUUCUAAGACUCAUCUCUCAAUCCAAAAGCCCUGCUAACAGCUGAAGCUAAAUGCUUAGUAAGCACAUUAUCUUCUCACAGAAUGUAAGAAGGAUAUUGAAAUAGCAAGUCCAGCCACUUUACAACUAAAACUUUCUUAUCUGUUUCAAAUGAACAACCAGCUAGUGUUCUGAAUGCAGUCAGUACUGAUGUGUUACUGGAGGAGAAGCUUUAACAAUAAGGAAGUACAGCCUUGCCUAGAAAGUUCUCUGAACUCUCCCCACCCUUCCCAGGUUAGCAGCAGCAGAGGCAGCAGACCAUAUGCAGCAGGCAGCAGCACCAGCCCAAGCUGGGACUGGUCCAGUUUAACUUACCUGUAGAUGACGGCAGGGAUGCGCUUCCAGGACCUGAAACUUGAUACACUUUCCAGUUCUUUGUCAGUGAUCCAGGCAGGCACUAUGAGCUCUUGAGGAUAGCUACCACAUAAUCUAAAGAGAAGAUGAGAAGUGGGGAGAGUCAAGGGGAUAAGAGAGGGAGAGAGAAAACGGGAGAGAGAGAGAGACACUAGGUGAGCCAGCAUAAGGAUGAUGAUCUCACUGCCACAGAACCAGUUAAAGGCAAUGAGGCGCUUUAUUCGAGUUUUGGACUCCUCAACAGAAUGGGUUACCAUAAGUGUGUUUUGUUUUGUUUUGUUGCCUUAAAUGUUUACUUAUGUGUAUACAACAAAUGAUACUAUCUUGAAUUGUUCCACUUGAUGCUACCUUUUGGGAAUCUGGCAAUCUUAACUAUCAAUGAAAAAAAGGGGAGUCGAGGGUCAGCUCUUUAUACUCCAUUACAACUCUUCUGCUGUAACAAGUACAUAGGUUAUUUCUAACUACAUGAGCGCCCAGUCCAAUUACAGAACUGAGAGUCCGUGUCAGUUCUACCAGACCCUCAGGGAAGGAAAAAAGCCCACAAUUGCAAGUUUCCAGAGACUUCACAGGAUUAACUCAUUCUUUGAUUUGAACCAAACAGGGUGUCAUCCUUAUAGGUAACAGGUGCAGCCAUGGGUAUGCAAAACCAACACAAGCCAGUCUAUCUGCAUACACAGCCUCAGUCCCAUUGAACCAGGUUAGUAAUGUGACUAAGCUAUUAACCAUAAUUUCCAUAAAACAUACUUCAGAACAAAUUAUACUGGGGGCGGGGGGAUAAGCUUUCUUUUAAUUAGGGAAGAUCCCAGCUACAGUCAAGCCGGUAUCCUAGGAAGCAAUACUUCCGAUAGAUUUUUACUUACAGGACAAUGUCUCUCUCUGGAUAAUCCAAUCUUCUUUUUUCAAUAGUGAAGGCAAUAAGGCCUUUAAUCCAAAUCCUAAAACACACAAACUCCACCAACACCACCAACCCCCUGCCCUAGCCUAUCCUAUACAUAGCAGAAAGCGCAGAAAAACACAAAAUGGCUUAGGAUUUGGGGGUUUUGAUCAUUUUGCACUAAAUCUCUCCUCAAUUUCCAGAAGAGGAGACUUCUGGAAUUUUCAGGAAUUUAAAAGCCACUGAACAAAAGAGAAUGGCUAUGACUAAGAGUAGCUAUACAAACUUCCUAACACCUAUUCACAAACUCCUAAAAAUAAGCUGGGAGCCAGUAAUGAUGGUUAAUAUCUAACCAUGAAUCUCAUUCCCUUUAUUAUGUAUUAAACUCAAGAGUAAACUUGGCUCUCACUCUUCUACCUUUGUAGUAGGAAGAACUUUCAACAUCCUGUUGUUUCCCACCACCCCCCAUUUUGUUUUAUGGUGGUGAUAACAUCCUAAAGACUGGUUCUGAGGUAUAACUGGUAAACUCCUUGAGACAGUUGUUCUGUUACCCGGGCUAGAGAGCAGUGGAGCGGUCAUGGCUCACAGCAGCCUCGACCUCCUGGGCUCAAACAACUCUUCUACUUCAGCCUCCCCAGUAGCUGGGACUACAGGCAUGCACCACCAUGCCCAACUAAUUUUUUUUUCUUUGAGAUGGAGUCUCGCUCUGUCGCCCAGGCUGGAAUGCAGUGGCAUGAUCUCGGUUCAUUGCAAGCUCCACCUCCCGGGUUCACGCCAUUCUCCUGCCUCAGUCUCCUGAGUAGCUGGGACUACAGGCGCCCGCCACCACGCUGGCUAAUUUUUUUGUAUUUUUAGUAGAGACGGGGUUUCACUGUGUUAGCCAGGAUGGUCUCGAUCUCCUGAGCUCGUGAUCCACCCGCCUCGGCCUCCCAAAGUGCUGGGAUUAGAGGAAUGAGCCACCAUGCCUGGCCAAAUUUUUAAGAAAUUUUCUGUAGAGAUGAGGUCUCACUAUGUUGCCCAGCCUAGUCUCAAACUCCUGGGCUUAAUCAAUCCUCUAUCUUGGCCUCUCAAGAAGUUAAUUUUUAAAAGCCGAAUUGGGGAUUAUUUUCCAACAAGUCUGUCUUAAUUCACAGUUUUUUUUUACUUGAUCUAAUUUUCUAAACAUUCUGUUCAUUGUCCUAUAGGUACUACACUCCCAGUAGUCAGCUCUUCAGUAUGCACUACCUACUCACUUGUGGAUAAACAAUUUCCAGUAUAGGUUACACUCAGGAAAGCCUAAUGCAGCCACAGGCUCUCUGAGGCCGCCCCCUCAUCCAGCAUUCACCCUCCUUCUUUGCUUUGACUCAUCACUGAGAACAGGCAAAAGUAUAAAAAGUCUGCAGCUCCAACUCUUCAAAACACCCUGGGUUCUCAACUCCCUGGAGAAGGUCCACAUUAAGAACUGUGUAUAGCAAUUAGCUAUAGCUUUUCCAGUGAAAACUCUGACGGCUAGCCACAAACAGACCAGGAAAAUGCCCGUCAUAAUUUGAGACAGCUAAGAGGACCGCAGAAUGAUUAAUGAUGCAGGGAAACGUAGGAGAAGGAUAUAUAUAUUUUUUUUUUUUAUUUUUUUUAUUUUUUAAGACAAAGUCUCGCUCGGUUGCCCAGGCUGGAGUGCAGUGGCACAAUCUCAGCUCACUGCAAGCUCCGCUUCCCAGGUUCAUGCCAUUCUCCCGCCUCAGCCUCCCCAGUAGCUGGGACUACAGCCACCUGCAACCAUGCCCGGGUAAUUUUUUGUAUUUUUAGUAGAGACGGGGUUUCACCGUGUUAGCCAGGAUGGUCUCGAUCUCCUGACCUCAUGAUCCUCCUGCCUCAGCCUCCCAAAGUGCUGGGAUUACAGGCGUGAGCCACCGCGCCUGGCCAAGAAGGAUAUAGUUAAAGAUUUAAGAUAUUUAACUAUCAUGGACAAUUUUGUUUUAUAGAAAUUUGGAUCACCAAAAUCAUAGUAGUUAACUGUCCUCCCCCACCAACGCACUUACACAUUUUAAGGAACUGGGUAAUGGCUAAAUGGUUACAUUAAUUUUUUUUUUGCGACAGAGUCUCACUCUAUCACCCAGGUUGGAAUAUAGUGGUGCAAUCUCAGCUCACUACAACCUCCACCUCCCAGGUUCAAGCAAUUCUCCUGCCUCAGCCUCCCAAGUUGCUGGGACUACAGGCAUGCACCACCACGCCCAGCUAAUUUUUGUAUUUUUAGUAGAGACAGUGUUUCGCCAUGUUGGCUGGGCUGGUCUCGAACUCCUGACCUCAGCUGAUCUGCCUUGGCCUCCCAAAGUGCUGGGAUUGCAGGUGUGAGCCACCAUGUCCAGCCAAAUAAAGGUUACAUUAAUAUUUAAUGGUUAAAUGAUCAUAGCAGUGAAGUUGGUUUUAGAUCAAUAUAUUAAAGGACAGAAUAAUACAGACUGAGCAUCUUUAAUCCAAAAAUCUGAAAUGCUCCAAAAUCCAAAACUUUGAGUGCUGACAUAAUGCCACAAGUGGAAAAUUCUACACUUGACCUCAUGUGAUGGGUCACAGUCAAGUCACAGUCAAAACUUUUCGUAAAAAACAUCAUGCAUGAAAUUAUUUAAAAUAUUGUACAAAAUUACCUUCCAGCUGUAUAAUGUGUAUAUGAGACAAAUAAUUUUGUGUUUAGACUUGGGUCCCAGGCCCAAGAUAAUCUCAUUAUGUUCAUGCAAAUAUUCCAAAACCUGAAAAAAAUCCAAAAUCUGAAAUAUUUACAGUCCCAAGAAUUUCAGAUAAGGGAUACUCAACUGUACUUAUGUCUAUUUCACACCACCUGGAGUAAAAUUACAGUCAUAAAAACUAGUUCAUAAAUGUUCUGUCACUGCUUAUGAGACCACUGAUCCUCUCUCUAAUGUGAUGCCAAGUGGUGAUGAGAAAAAUGGUAACUGCCUGCCUACAGGCAAAUACAAUAUUAUUUAGACAUGCAUGUACCAGAAAAAACAGAGGCCUAGAGGGGGUAAAAGGGAAGGUUCUAGGAUCCUGUUAAGUAAGGAUCACUUUCCACUCCAAUGAUAGCAACGGGAACAGAAGAUUCAAUAAAUACUCUGAAGAUCAUGCCUUUAGAUUUAAUAAAUAAAACCAUUUCAAAUAAAAAGUCUAAGUUCAAAUGUUCUGCCACAUGAGAAUUGCGGUUUCUGCAAAGGCACUGGCUGUGAAACAGUCCACAGGGACCCAUAUAACUCACUUGUACUUCUCAUUGAUGUUGGAAAUCCUCCAGGCGUUGUUCAUAUCAAAACCCAUCCUCUCCACCUCGUUUUUAAACCUUGAAGUUACAUGCUCCCCUAGAGGCCAAAGAUAAACAGCAGAAAGGAAGAAAUGAAUACCAUUUUGCAAAACAGGUGGAAUAAAAACAAAGAAAUAUACAUAUGUUACAUAUAUGUAAAUAUAUAUAUAUUUUUUGAGACAGGAUUCCACUCUGUCACAUAGGCCGGAGUGCAGUGGUGUGAUCUCAGCUCACUGAAACUUCCGCCUCCCAGGUUCAAGUGAUUCUUGUGCCUCAGCCACCCAAAUAGCUGGGAUUACAGGUGCAUGCCACCAUGACUGGCUAAUUUUUGCACUUUCAGUAGAGAUGGGGUUUUACCACAUGGGCCAGGCUGGUCUCGAACUCCUGGCCUCAUGUGAUCUGCCCGCCUCGGCCUCCCAAAGUGCUGGGAUUACAGGCGUGAGCCACUGCGCCCAGCCUGUGUAUUUUUAAAGGUAAGAAUUGUAUAAAUAAUAAAGUAACAUAUAUUAUAUAGUUUUAGUUUAGAAAGAUCCCUGUCAGGUUAAGAUUAUAAAGAGGAAAGAAAUUAAUUCUGAUCAAGAGUUAUGUUAUCUCAUCUAACCCUUACAAUCAUCUCUGAGAACAGUAUCACUGAGCUCAUUUUACAAAGGACAAAAUUAAAACAGGUUAUUAUGGCAGGCCUGUCUGGCCCCAGAAGCCAUGCUCUUGUCCUACACUGGCUACUUGCCUACUUCCACACUCAGACUGACAGUACACUUAAUAAGAAAUAAAAUCAAUAACAAGAUCACCACGAGUAGCAAUACAGAACUAUAAUUCCUCAUCCAAAACCCUUUGGUCCAAAUUUUAGAACUUGAGAGUUUUCCAAACUUUCGUUAAGGUAAGACAGCGAAUAUAAUAUUAGGCUCACAUGCUUAACAAGAUCUCCUUAAACAAAUAUUAAUAUUUCUUUCGUGAAAGGUAUAGAUCAUUCAUACCAGGUGGGAUAAAUAAAGCAACAAAUAGCCUCAUGUCAGCUCAGAUCAGGUCCAGCCAAGACACCAAAUAGGGUAUGAAAAACAUUCUGGUUUCCAGAGCCUUUUAGAUGAUGGCAGGUUAACAGGUCAUGGAAUCAUAACUGCCAGCCAGGAAUCUCAGGAAACACCAUACUACUAAGUGCUGAUUAUUUGCAAGAACAGCCACCCAAGCUGGUAUAAUCUGGCUAUAUUUGCCCUAAUGAAUCUGGCUUUAUCUUCCUUAAAAAAGCAAAACAGAGGUAGAAACGAAGCUAACAUAAAUUCAGUAAAUCUAAAAUAACUUUCUUCCUUGAAAACAUACACAGUCCUAGGGCAGCAUGUUAUUUUAAAAAAUAUUAAGCAGAACCUCUAAUAUAUAGUGGUACAGGUUGUAAAAUAAGUGCUAGCAGGGCUGGAAGAAACCACAACAACAAAAGCACAAAACAGAUUUCACUUUAGUGUUCAGAGUAUAAAGCUUUGUUCUCCCUGGGAGAGGAGCUACAGAAUAGGAAACAGCAAUUACUUGGAUGGAAGACAAUUCUGUUAAACUACUUCCCAUUUAAACUGCUUUUCUUGAGCUCAAGCUAGGUAUUAUACAUUUCCUGAAGGAGAGCUAUAAAAAGAUGAGGUUGAGAGAAUAUGAGGUGCAAGAAGAAAUAAAAACUAAAUCCAUCCCAUUUUGGAAAAGUUUUAGAAGCAAUGUAGCAGGCUUCCAAACAGGAAAAAACUAUCUGAAUUGGGGUGCCAUCUGUCUACAAAUUGCAAGGAAUAUUGACCAUCAAGAAUACUAGGCCAGACGCGGUGCCUCACACCUGUAAUCCCAGCACUUUGGGAGGCUGAUGCAGGCAGAUUGCUUGAGCCCAGGAGUUCAAGACCAGCCUGGGCAACAUCUGGUCAACCCCAUGGGCAACCCCAUCUCCACAAAAAUGCAAAAAUUAAGUUGUGGUGGUCCAUGCCUAUAGUCCCAGCUACUUGAGAGGCUGAGGUGGGAGGAUCACCUGAACCUAGGGAAGUUGAGGCUGCAGUGAGCCAUCAUCACACCAUUGCACUCCAGCCUGGGCAACAGAGUGAGACCCUGUCUCAAAAAAAGGGGAAAAAAACAAAACAAAACGAACAAAAAAAACAGACAAGGAGUCUUUAAUUCAUAAUCCCAAUCUAAAAGCUGCAAAACUGUGGCAAAUUCCAAGUUCAUUAAGAGAUUUUUUCCCCCGACUCUGGGAUAUAGCUCCAAGUCUUUGCAAAAGCUGUAAGUAUUUCAUUAAUGAUUUAUUUUUUUUGUGCUUUUCUUGAACUGUACAUUAAUGAUCUUUUACAUUAACACCUCUAUCUCAGGAUAAAACACAUAGAUACCCUUAAAGGAUCUUGUGAUUUAAAAAUAACCACUGGCAAAAUAAUAACAGUAACAAUCACUAUCACUAGCAAUUUACUUCAUAGAACCAUUUCCCCAAAGAAGGACUUAGAACCACCAUCCAGAGCACAACAUUCUGAGCUAUACGCAGAAAUAUAUACUGACUAGCAGGUAUAGAAAAUCUGUUAUUUCGAGUUCUUUGGGAAUGGGAAUGAGUUUUAAUUAUUUUUAUAUCCUCUAAGGCAGUGACUUCAUAAACUCUGAAACUGACCAUCACAACCCACAAUAAGAAUUAUGUUUUACAACACAAUACAACAAACAUGUUUUAAUUUAUUCAGUUUUUGAGAGACCGGGUUUUCCCUCUGUUGCCUAAGCUGGAUUUGAACUCCUAAACUCAAACAAUCUUCCCACCUCAGCCUCUUGAAUAGCUAGGACUAUAGGUAGACACUGUGCCCAGCUAAUACAACAUACAUUAUUUUUUUGAAAGCAUUUCACAAAACAAUACCCACUCUUAAUAUGUGUGUGACACAAUUUGAUAUUUUCUAUUCCAUUUCUUUAAAAUUAGAUUUCAUGACCCACUACUGGAUCAUAACCUAUUUGAAAACCACAUCAUUACAUACAUCAGGAAUUCAACCAGCUUUUGCAAAUUGUGUGAGAUGUUCACUCACGUUUACUUAGCCAGAAAAAUAAACACAAACAGAUCUAUUGCUGGAUUCCCCUUAAAAAUCUCCAUCUCAGAAUUCUCAGGUCUCAAUCAAUUCAACAUUAAAUACAUUGUGAUAUCCCAACUUUCUUUAAAUACUGGGGCUAUAAGGUUUUUGUUUGGCUUUAUAUUUCCAUUUCAACCCUUCCUAUCUGCCUUUGUCCCUUUUCAGCAUUUAGUGUUUCUUAUAAUAAAAAUAAUACAGUCCAGCAAUUUUCACUUUAGUGGAAAUGAAAACUUUCUUUUUAAAAGCAAUGAAGUUCCCUAACUCCCUCUAUCACAAACACAGUGUCAAUCAGCAAUCUAAAAAAUUUUCCCCCAAAAGUCUAGCUCCCUGGCUGAUCCUGAGUAGUCAAGCCCACAAUUACACACAGCUUAAAAGGCCUGGGACAGAAGGGACAGGCCUUUACCUGGCAGGUGAGGAAGCAGACCAAUACCAGAGUCAGAGAAGGUAAGAACUACCUCUUAGCAGAUUUUCAAAUACGGAGAAAGGAAUUAUGCUUUUCUAUGUACAAAGGUCACAGUAAAUCCUCUAGAUGCAACUUCCUGGACUGCAUUCAAACCCGGAAGACAGAUAAAUAGGCAGCUUCACAGCAGUGUUAAGACCCAGAGUCAUAUGCUAGUCGUGGAUAAACAAGAUGGGCUUAAGGGACAUUUCACAUGAGAGAGGUUAGAGAGGUAGGCCUGAUGCUACUAAACUGGCAGCUAAGCUGCCCAGUCAUCUGUCAGGCCUCCAGAUUAACACUCUAGUACAGAGCCAUCACCAACAAGUCAAUUGCAAUGAGGAGCAGGAAGUUAAGGACAUGGGAGAGAAGCUUUUAGCUUUCAGUCCACUUUUUUAGAGUUUGAGGGGCUAAGAGAAGGGUCAAGAAUUUGGCAAAGGCUUCUGCAGGUUUCACAGGUAAACUCCAACAGCAAUGUUGAAACUUCUUCCAAAGCUGAUUAAGCCUUAGAGCUGUGACCACAGUACAGCCGGCUUAACUAUGACCGGUUCAACAGCCAGAAACUAAGAUUUAUAUGAAUACUAAGACAAUUAUGUAAUUUUCUCAUUUCUCUCCUCUCUGAUACAUUCUACUUCUAGCAGGCUAGGUAGAGAAGACUCCAUAAAAGGCUUUAUUAACUGCUAUAAGAUUAAACUAACUUCCACCCCUCAGAGUCUACACUUGUGAUAUCAUGUACUGGGGCAGAUUAUAAAAAGGCAUGACUUUGAAAUAUCCCAAGUGUUGUCUCAUCCUAAAGAUGACUUAUAAGUAUGUGGUUGUCUGGUAUGCUAAUAUUUGAUGAGUAAUGCUAUAUACACCGCCACUGCUCAACAACAUGAGGUAAUGACAAAAGAAACAGGUUGACUGGAUGUCCUCGAGGUGUUUUUUUUUUUUUUUUUUUGGUUUGUUUUUAAUUAAAACCAAGUUUUUCCUUUGUACUCCACAGCGAAUAUACAUAAAAGGCAAAAGCCAUACAUACACAUACAUUCAACCAAGUCACUGAAAUACAAGAUUCCAUGCUGAGUGGUGGCAGGUUAACAUCAAUGUGGACUGUGUAUACUGGGAAGAAACAAAAUGCAACCCUUACUCAUAAUCUCUAGCCAAACAGUUAUGAUUGCAUUACCUUGUAGUUGCAUAAUUUCCAAAGUGUUUUCAUAAGCAUGGCACAUAGGGGGCACUUAAACAUUUACUGAAUUGAACUCUGCAGCAUUAACAGAUUUGAUCUUCAGGAUACCUGGAUCAGCCUGGGCAGGAAGAGCAUGAAUGUCCCACUUUAAAGCACAAAGGAAACUAAAGCACAGAGAGCAUAAAUUCUUUGCCCAGUGUUCUUUUUUUCAACUAAAUCGUAGAAUACGCAUUUAAAUUCAGGUUUCCUAAUUCCUAAGUCAGUACUUUACCCCUCACAUGCCCUUGCAUCACAAACCUACGAAAAGACAGAGAACACUGUAGAUAUCUUUAUGUCCUGAUGGCCAAAGAAUACCAGAUAUCAUCAGGAAGGGGAAGGGUCUGGGGACCAAAGUCAUCCCACCUCAGGGCAGAGCCACCCAUAAUUAAAAGACUAGACUGAGGUACCUCUCAGGAAUAUCCUAAGAGUUUGCUGAAAUCUAAAAGAAACUCAAAUUAUCAAGGGACUAAAAAAGCUCUCCUAAAAAGAUAAGGACUUUUCAGUCUGUGGUUGUGAGAGAACAGGAUAGGAGAAAGCAAAUCUUGCUGAGUAAAUGCUGGCAACCCAAAAUUAGGGAAUACCUCUUGGAGUCAGGGGUCUUGGAGUCAGGGGUCUUAAACAAAUUAAAGUUCUUAUAUAACAUAAUGCAGUAGGAUGCACUCAUUAAGUUCAUUAUCCUAGGAGAUGGUAGAAACUAAAAAUUUAAUAAAGAAGAUGCAAUGGUUAAAAACUCAGAAACUGUACAUGUAAGAUUUGUACACAUCACUGUUUGUAAACUUUCUCUUUAAGAAAAACCCCCAAAUUUGAAAAGAGCCAUAAAAAAUGAAAAAAUGUAUUUAAAAUGUGAUGGCAUUUCAAUAAAGAAAAAAAAUAGAUGUAACAAUCGGAGUGAAGUGAGAGACAGUUUAAGCACAUUCUCAUAAACUUCCAAGGUUGGUGUGGUCUCUCGUAGGUGACAGGAUUCUGCUAGCCUGGACACGCCUGUGAGAAGCUGGGAUUCUGAGGCUUUCCCUGAGGCUCCAAGAGGGCAGGUGCUUUUGUUUUUCAAACUCUGUAUCCACAGCAUCCACCAUGGUCAGGUCUGAAUAACUGAGAACUGGUUUUAAGUCCUAGUUCUGUCGUCAGUGACUAGCACUGGGACUUGACAACAGGCUUUUUACCUCUGAGCCUCCAUUUCUUUGGCUCCCAAAACAGACACCAACCUAUCUUGCCUGUUUGACAAGGUCAUGAGGAUCAAACAAAAGUAUUUAUCAAAGCAUUGUUAAACAUAAGAUAAUGCUAAUGCUACAAGCAUUUUAAUAGAACAAGAAUGUGAACCAAAAGCUUCAAUUAGUCAUGGGGCCAGAGAACAAAGUAACAAAAGCAUAGCAAGAUUAGCCUCAAAUGUUUAAAAUGACCCAGGGCAGACUUAUAAGAUUGAAGAUUCAGGAUUAAAAUUUCAGGUUUCUAGAAAAAAGUCCCAAGAGUAAACUUUACUUGAAGGAGGCUUACAACUUUUCACUGCACAGAAAUUUAAGACUUCACUUUGAAACCUGACACACUAAAAGUCAGUGUUGGACCAGCAAAGUUUUAUGACCACAUAAAGUUUACAAGAAACUACAUGCAGAGAAAUAACAUGGUCAAAGCCAUUUCUGACGGAGAAUGACAGUGAGGGGGACAAAGACUAUAGAGGAGUCAGGAAGCCUGGGUUCCAGAACAGGCUCAGCAUCUCUUUUUGGUUUUUUUGGGGGGGAGGGGGUCACAUGUUAAAACCUAUAAUCUAGGCCAGGAGCUGUGGCUCACGCCUAUAAAUCCAAGCACUCCGGGUGGCCAAGGCGGGCGUAUCACCUGAGACCAGCCUGACCAACAUGGAGAAACCCCGUCUCUACUAAAAAUAAAAAAUUAGCCGGGCAUGGUGGCGCAUGCCUGUAAUCCCAGCUACACAGGAGGCUGAGGCAGGGGAAUUGCUUGAACCCAAGAGGCGGAGGUUGCAGUGGUCCGAGAUUGAGCCAUUGCACUCCAGCCUGGGCAACAAGAGCGAAACUCCGUCUCAAAAAAAACAAAAAACAAACCCCACUAUCUAUUUGUUCUUGAUAGGAACCUGGCCUCUCACCAAUUAACUCCUAUUCAACUUUCAAAGCUGAUUCAAAAGCCACUUUAAAUGUGAAGUCUUCCCACACAUGUAUACAAAACUCAUGGCUCCUUUCUAUCAGGCUUCCAUACUAUUCAUAAAACCUUAUUAUAGUUGAGCUGUUUUUAGGCCCAAUAGAUUGUGAUGCCUUCUAGUGUUCUUCCCUUCCCCGGAAGGCAGAAAAGAUGUUCUAUUAAGCUUAAAAGAAUGCUGCGCACUUGCUGGGUGCUCCUUAAAAUAUACACUGAUUGAUAUAUGAAUGCUUAGGUGUCCCAUUUCAUGUUAAAAGUACCUCCAUCAGUAGCUUGAUAAAGCCCCUGGCCAUUUGCACAUUUCAGAAAGGCGUACCUGGUCUGCACAGGUCUCCAUGUUGCUCUUUUUCACUGGCAUAGACCUCCAUGCACCAAGCAUGGUAUGCAAAUGAGAAGAGAUCUUCUAUUUUAGCAGGUGGUCGGAUUGCGUUGUUCAGUCUCUUCAGCCACUCUUGACACUGCUCAAAGGUUGAAAACUGACACCUUUUGUAAAGCCAAACAAGUAUGGAUGUAAUCAGAAGACAGUUGAAAUGAAAUGUAAGAAAAGCCAUUAUUUCAAGAAUGCCCACUCGUAGUGAAGUGGGAACUACAACCAAGAAAGCAUCUGAGGCAGUCAGUCAUUCGCAUGCUCAUUAUCACUUAUAAGAAAAACAAAUGUUAGCCAAUGGAACAAAAUGUCCAAAAGGAGGAAGCUGACCAUUGGAAAACCUAUUUUUUUAGACUAAUGAAAUCUCUUCUAAGAUUAAUGACAAUUAUUACAGAAAAAUGGCAGCUAUUCUCUUUCAUGAGUGGAGUUUCAUUCUACUUCUUCCAUCGAAGUUUUAUGGUUGUCCCUCAUAAAAAAUAUGUUUAGAAAAAUCUUUGUUUUGUAGUAACAUAUUAGAUCAAGUUUAAAAAAAAACAGCAUUAUUUUUAGCCAGUUAGGUAGUAAUUUCAAUAUUUAGCUAUUAGGACAAAUCAGAUCCAAAAGACAGAUUGCACUGAAACUUUCAGCUAUGACCAUGUAGAGAACAAAACAAUUCUAUUGUCAACUGCGAUUUUCAGUAUAUACAACUAAGAAGUUAAAAUAAUUAGUGAAAACUAAUUUAUUAAAGAUAUGUUUAGGCUGAGUGCAGUGGCUCAUGCCUGUAAUCCCAGCACUUUGGGAGGCCAAGACGGGCAGAUCACUGGAGGUCAGGAGUUCAAGACCAGCCUGGCCAACAUGGCAAAACUCCCGUCUCUGAUAAACAUACAAAAAUAUUAGCCAGGUGUGGUGGCGUGCACCUGUAAUCCCAGCUUCUCAGAAGGCUGAGGCACGAGAAUCACUUGAAACAGGGAGGUACGGGUUGCAGUGAGCCAAGAUCACACCACUGCACUCCAGCCUGGGCAACAGAGUGAGGCUCUGUCUCAAGAAAAUAAAUAAAUAAAAAUAAAGAUUUGUUUAAAUAUUUGGCCUUUUUGAAUGCAAUGUUAAAAACUGACUAAUUAAUAAGCAACUACCUUCUUAAACUGUGAGUUGUAGCCAGUAUCUAUCAAAAAUAAGCCAAAUCUCACUGACUAAAAAGCAAUAUAAAUAUCUAUCUUAAAACCAAGGGGUCACUUAAACCUCUCUCUCAUCCCAAUCAUGGUGGCUCAUCAGUAUGCCAACACAUAAUAUUUACUGACACCCCAGAAGAGGUCAGAGGAAUGCAGUAAAAACUUGUGGAAUUUAAGACCUCUAGAGCUAUUAAAUUUAAAAAUGCAUUUCAGGCAUCGUUGUUGGUUUUUGGUUUUUCAGAUGGAGUCUUGUUCUGUCACCCAGGCUGGAGUACAGUGGCGUGAUCUCAGCUCACUGCAACCUCUUGCCUCCCAGGCUCAAGCAAUUCUUCCGCCUCAGACUCCCAAGUAGCUGGGACUACAGGCGUGCACCACCACACCCAGCUAAUUUUCGUAUUUUUAGUAGAGAUGGGGAUUUGCCAUGUUGGCCAGGCUGGUCUCAAACUCCUGACCUCAAGUGAUCCACCCCCACCUCGGCCUGCCAAAGUGCUAGGAUUACAGGCGUGAGCCACCACACCCAGCCUGCAACCAUUAUAGUUAAGCGCAGAUACAAAUCAUCAAUGAAUGCUAAACUUAUGGAGAAAUUUUUAUGAGAAGCAGGGACAUUUGCAUUGUUUCAAAGUGCCUCCCCCAGACUGUUUUUAGUUGCAAGAGAGAAAACGCAGAAAUUAUACAGAAGCCAGGUGACAUCUCGACUGGAAUAAUCAAAAUUAACAUCACCAAUGAAGGACAUGUGGACACUGUACUUCCAGAUGUAAUACAAUACCCUGAAAAGGAUGUGACAUCAUAUAUACAGUAUUCCAGUUGAGAAAAUAGAACCUCAAUUUAAUUGAGGAAAUACUGGACAAACACAACAUGAGAAGUAUUCCAUUAAAACAAAAGAUUGUAUUCUGCAAAAUGUGAAUGUCAUAAAAGAAAAUAAGGCUGUAGAAAAUGUUCCAGAUUGGCCGGGUAUGGUGGUUCAUGCCUGUAAUCCCAGCACUUUGGGAAGCCGAGACGGGCAGAUCACGAGGUCAGAGUUCAAGACCAGCCUGACCAACAUGGUGAAACCCCAUCUCUACUAAAAAUACAAAAAAUUAGCCGGGUGUGGUGGCACACACCUGUAACCCCAGCUACUCAGGAGGCUGAGGCAGGAGAAUCGCUUGAACCCAGGAGGCAGAAGUUGCAGUGCGCUGAGAUCGUGCUACUGCACUCCAGCCUGGGCAACAGAGCAAGACUCUGUCUCAAAAAUCAAACAAACAAAAACAAAAAGAAAAUGUUCCAGAUUAAAGAAGGCUACAGAGUCAUGGCAGCUAAAUGCAAUAUAUGACCUAGACUGGAUCCUGUACUGAAUGAGAUGGAGGUGAGGGAGAAUGCUAUAAAAAAGUAUCAAUAGGUCAUUAGGUGAACUGACAAAAUUGGAACAUGUAUAGUAGACUGGAUGUAAGUAUUAUCAAUGUAAAAUUGAAAAUUGAUAAUGUUAUGGUUAUGUAAGAAAAUAUCCCUAUUCUUAGGAAAGCACACUAAAGUAUUUUGGGGUUAAGAGCCAUGAUUACGUAACUUACUCUCAAUCUGUUCAGGAAAAGAAACACACACACACAUACACACACGCCUCUGCAAAUAAUAAAGCAAAUGGUAAAAUGUUAACAAGUGAAUCUGGGUGAAUGGUGUACUGAUGUUCUUUUUAGUAUUUUUAUUUUUGCCCUUUUGUAAAUUUAAAAUUAUUUCCAAAUUAAAAAAAAAAAACAUCUUUCAACAUAGCAAAGUAUACAUCCUACAGAUAAAAUAUUUCAGGCACAAACUACUCAGAAAAUAUUCCUAAUGAGGCUAAUCAUCAAAAGGUAUUUUACUAAGUUACCAAAUAAUGGACCCAUUCUUUAAAAAAUAUUUUCCACACUAAACAGCAACACAAACAUACCAUACCACAUACCUGAUAACUUUGCAGUCUUUGCAAGUCAAAUGAAGCUGAAAUAUAUCUCGGCAUUCAACACUUUCUAUAAGCUGUAAUGGAACCUGCAAUUUUAAAAAAAUGAAGUCCUCUUAGUCAAAAAGGCAUUGACCCUGGAGUUCUUCAAUGUGUCCAACAAGACUAAUUAAAAAGAUCUAUAAGGGAAAGCAACAAAAAUAGAACUGCAAACUUAUCUGGAUCAACAGUACUCAAGUGAUUUACUACAAAGUGAAUUAGGACUUCCCUUUAUCUCUAAAUCAGUGGUCUCAAGUCAUGUCAUAGCAUGAAGGCAACAAAGAGGUGGCACCACCUUUGGAAGAAGGGGAGAAUAUAUCUCUCAGGCACCGAAUUCACAAGAUCAGAGUACUACUUUUAGAUGCUAUAACUGACUAUGAUUUGCAAUGAUGCAAUGACAUAGAAGCUGAAGGGAGCCAGAACAGUAAUCUUUUCUUGCUUAUAGAAAAGAACUACAGAUCAGAAUGCCAGUGGGAGACUAUUGUUUGCCCCAAAUGACAGAGUGGGCUUAUGGCUUAGUGUCAGCCAAUGAGGCUCCUGAAAAAGACUAGAGUUCUAAGCUGACUGUGGAUUGCACAGAAAAGACAAUGGGGCAAUAGCUGCUGGCCAGGCUCUCUACUAAGUAGAAUAGACCCAAAAGUAUCAAAAAGGAGGGAGAAGGCCAUACAGUGAUCAAGGAUGCUAAAGCUAUAAUAACUAUGUCAGAUUUGCUUCAAAAAAUCAGUUAGAAGCCCCGUUUGCCAAAUGGGGCUUGAGGUUUGAACAAGCUGGAAUGGUUCCCCCUUGCCAAUCUGGUCUACAGACUCUACUGGACACAGGAUUAUGUACAACAGCAGAUAGAGAGAAGGGAGACAGAUAGAAGCAAAAGCAUCUAGACAGGGUGCCAAAUCUUCAGGAUAAUAUGAGGAUCCUCCUCCUAUCCCUUAAAUCAUCCUAAUUCAACCCUUGGCUUCAAAAAGCAAUUUCUAGGCUUUCAAGGCAAACCUGGUAAAAUAAUAGUGAAUACUUUUACUCCUUGAAAAAGGAGUGGGCCAUUUGCCUCUUACAGUGUAUCAAGUCUAGCCAAAAUGUGGCUCUGGGAGUUGCAAAUAGCAUUCCAACAACUUGUGUUUAGUAUGCAAAGAGGAGGACAGUCUCCUCCAAUGCAGACAGGAACAAGAGUACUGUCUGCACAGGCUGGCCCUCGUGUUAGCUGAGCCAGUUUCAGGAACAAGCUUCCUGCAAACUCUGCCCCACCACAGAGCUGCCAGUCAGCACAGAACUCUCAGAAUGAGGAUGCAGGGAUCAAAAAGAAGCCCAGUGCUGGACAAAGAAACAGAAACUGGAGCAGGGGUUAAAGAAGAGAAGAAAGCAAAAUAAUAUUACUCAGAUAAAUGACUGGGAGUUUCUACCUUAGGACUAAAGUCUUCUUGCUUUUAAGUCUACAGUCUAUAAAAAUUCCCUUACAAAUGUAAUAGGACUGGGGGUCAGAAAAAGACUAAGAAAUCUUGGCCGGAUACGGUGGCUCACGCCUGUAAUGCCAACAUUUUGGGAGGCCGAGGUGGGCGGAUCACCUGAGGUCAGGAGUUUGAGACCAGCCUGACCAACAUGGAGAAACCCCAUCUCUACUAAAAAUACAAAAUUAUCCAGGUGCGGAUAAUUUUGGUGCAUGCCUGUAUUUUGGUGCAUGCCUGUAUUUGGUGCAUGCCUGUAUUUGGUGCAUGCCUGUAAUUUUGGUGCAUGUCUGUAAUCCCAGCUACUCCAGAGGCUGAGGCGGGAGAAUCGCUUGAAUCCCAGAGGCAGAGACUGCGGUAAGCUGAGAUCGUGUCAUUGCACACCAGCCUGGGCAACAAGAGCAAAACUCCAUCUCAAAAACAAAAAAAAAAGAAAAGAAAAAAGAAAAAUCUUGCCUGUGUUCUGAGAACAAAAGGAGCUUUUGGCCUUCUGUUUUUAUUUACGUCCUUAACCCCAAGGUGCUGUGAGAAACUGCAACUGAUGCAACUAAGAAUUCUUCUGAGACCUGUGCAUCUAAGAAGGAAAAAAAAAAACAAACAAACCUACAAUUUAUCAGAGAUAAAACUAUAAAGAAGAAAUAUUGAGAUUAAGAAGACAGAUUAGAAGAUAACUUUGCUUUGUUCUCAGGCCAGUUCUCUGGGUAGCCUGUAACAGACACUUACUGCUUUUUAUUUUGUAUAUACUCCUGCUAACUACCUUACUCACUAUAUCCCCCCAAAAUGUGGCUGCCAGACUGGCAAUUAAGAGCCGUGAGUUCUAAUCUCAAUUUUCUAAAAUGUUACCAAUUAAAAUUUUGCUGGCUUCAUUGGGCAAGCCUCCAGCCUUCCCAUGUGCCAUCAGCCUCUGCUUUCUGAACCUUGGUCACAACUAAGGAAAUCUCAGUCAUGGGGCCUGGGAAGAGUCUGGGAUAGGAUUAGAGUGAGCUUUACAAAUCCACAAGAAGAGGCUGCUCUUGCAGCAGUCACCUGCAUCCCAAGUCCCCUGCAACUGACUUUCUUUAUGGACAGAAGACAUGAAAACCAGCUAAUGCUCUUAGCAGCUGCUGGGGGAAAUGGAUUAGCCUUUGCUACUUUGCUACAAAGAACAGGUAAGUUUUACAUCCUUAUUACUAAACCAGAGCCCAAUGGCCCGUGCCCAAAUUUAAUAUCAUAAAAUUAUCUCAGACCAUGCAAAACAUUUGCUACCUAAAAUUCAGGCAAUAUAUACAUAUUUUUUUCUAUAUUUUAACAUCUUAAAUUGAAGAAAAAAGAAUUAGAAUGUUGGUUCUAUGCAUUGAAAUCAGAUUGCAGACACCAGCAAGUCACCAAAAUCAACCAUGUGUAUUACAAGUCACAGAUACGGAGAACAGCAGAUUUUAAUAUUCAUGCAGACUGUCACAUGCAGGAAAGCUUAAUACGCAGCAAGAAUAGGGACAUACAAAAGAGAAACACCUGAUUUUUAUAACAAAUAUCUCCCUUUUCUUCUCCUUUCUACUGCAGUGUUUCCCUUCAGCACUUCCUGCACAGACUGCCUUUUCUUUCUUUCUUUCUUUCUUUUGAGAUGGAGUCUCGUUCUGUUGCCCAGGCUGGAGUGCAAUGGCGCGAUCUUGGUUCACUGCAACCUCCACCUCCCAGGUUCAAGCUAUUCUCCCUGCCUCAGCUUCCUGAGUAGCAGGCACCUGUGAUCCCAGCCACCACGCCCAGCUAAUUUUUGUAUUUUUAGUAGAGAUGGGGUUUUGCCAUUUGUCCAGGUUGGUAUCGAACCCCUGACCUCAGGUGAUCCACCCGCCUAGGCCUCCCAAAGUGCUGGAAUUACAGGUGUGAGCCACUGCACCCAGUCCAGAUUGCCUUUUCUAAAAGGCAGAAUUGACCUUCUUUUCCUGUUCAUACCUCCAUCCAAAACAUACUGUUUCUCUAUUUUCUUAAGGCCCACUACACUGCUUUAGGUUCAAAUUUCCUCACAUAUGAAAACAAUCUCUUAACAUUUCUAUAACUAGAGAUACCCUAUAUUCAACCUCAAAAGCAAAUUACAGAUUCAAGAGCCAGUCCACUUUACAGCCCAGGAAGGUUAAACUACUACACUAUAAGCUAAUAUAGUAGUAAAGUCAGGACCAGGAUCCAUGUCUGUCCUCCAGCCUGGGCUCCUUCCACCAUACACGGUGUGUCUUUCUUUCUGCCCCUACACGUGGGCUUCUCUUCCAUAUGAGCUCUACUUUAGUUUUUCUUUCACAAAUAAGUAGCUUCUCCACCAGGGAUCUUCAAGAGGAAAACAGAGUUUAAAUCAAAACUCCUCAGAUGCAAUUCCUUUUGUAAAAGAGUAGCAAGAUAAACUCACUUUCAAAUCCUCUCAAACGUACUGAUUCAAUGUCUUGUAGCAACUCAUUUUCUUUUUGCUCCUCUCUCCUCUAUCUCUCCACCUGCCAGGUAACGCAAUCUCACCUUACAAUGCUUUUCCUAAUAUAAAUUUCACCAAACUCAUGCUCAAACAAUGCAUCAAACACAUUCAGUGCUACAACCAAUUCCUCAAAAAGCCAAGUUACAUUAUAGACACUAACACCCUGAAGAGCAUCAAUCCAAAAAAAGCAGAAGAGCAGCAGUUUAAAAAUUUAACAGACAUACAGACAUGCACAGGUUAUGUCCACAGUACUGUCACAUUCCAGAGGGAACUGAUGCCAUCAUACCCUACUAUAUUUACCUCAUUUCAUUCUGGGUGUGUGUGCAUACAUGUGCAUUAUUUUUAAACACCAGAAUCUAGAGUGGGAUAAUUCCUACCUUUUUAAAAACAAACACCCUUUUUAUAGCCUGAAUGGGAAGUACUAAUCUUGUACACGUGAAGUUAAAAUGGCAGUAAAAGAGUAAAAAUAAUGAGUCUAAAUCUAAAAUCAGUAAUAAAGUGGAAUAUCUGGGCACAAAAAUCUUUUCAUUUAAAAACUAAUCAGGGCCGGGCACGACGACUCACAUCUAUAAACCCAGCACUUUGGUAGGCUGAGGCAGGAGGAUCGCUUGAGCCCAGGAGUUCAAGACCAGCCUGGGCAACAUGGUGAAACCCUGUCACUACAAUAACAUAACAUAACAUAAAAAUAAAAUAAAUAUAAUAAAAUAAAAAUAAAAUAAAAUAAAAAAUUGAGUGCAGUGGCUCACAUCUGUAAUCCCAGCACUUUGGGAGGCCAAAGUGGGUGCACUGCUUGAGCCCAGGAGUUUUGAGACCAACCUGGGCAACACAGACAUCAUCUCUACAAAAAAUAAAAUUAAAUUAACUGAACGCGGUGGCAUGUGUCUGUAGACCUAGCUACUCAGAAGGCUGAGGUGGGAGGAUCACCUAAGCGCAGGAAGUUGAGGCUGCAGUGGGCCAUGAUGGCGCCAGUGCACUCCAGCCUGGGCGACAGAGCAAGACCCUGUUUCAAAAAACAACCACCAAAAACCCACUAAUCAGCAGAAGACUGUCACUGGUUUAAGAUUCAAACUCUAUUGUUCACCUUUGACAAUUUACAAGCCUCCAGCACUGCUUUCAGAGGCUCCCACUGUUAUAUGAAUGCUAGAUCAAAGUGCAUUAAAUGUUAACAAUAACCUCCUUCGCAGCAGGGUGUGGUGGCUAACGCCUGUAGUUCCAACACUUUGGGAGGCUGAGGUGGGAGAAUAACUUGAGCCCAGGAGACUAAGGCUGCAGUGAGCCGAGACUGUGCUAACGCACUCCAGCCUGGACAACAGAGUGAAACUCCGUCUCCAAAAAACAAAGUGAAAGAAAAAAAAACUAGUGUUGAUUUUACAAAUUAUUUCUAACAGAAACUUGUUCUACAUUUUUUUGAAGGUCACAAUUCCAUCUGCUUAUGUAUAAACUGCAGGGCUUUUUCCUUACCCUACAAAUUGUUCUCCUAGUAGCAUACAACUGGAAUUUGGUCCAGUAAGAGGAAAAGGACUCAUGCAGAGGGGAAACAUUCUGCUGAUUUGCAAGGUGAGCAUCUAACACUCAAAACCAAUUUGCUCCAAGCACAGGUGCAGCAACCGCCUAGGAUUUUCAUACUACUUACAGGGAUUUUAGAAGCAGCAGAUUGAGAAGCAGUCUAUUAAAUUACAAACACAUACACACACACACACACACACACACACACACACACACACAAACAAACUUUUAAACGUUCAUGAAUUCCACUUGAACACUUGUUUAUAAUUUAUCUAAGCUUCAAAGAACUAUGUCUGUAAAUAUAUAAUAAUUUGGGAAAAGCACAGAAUAGGAGCAAUGUAUACCUUAAAUGCUACACAUAAACUCUACUACAGAGAUUCUUUACCACAGGAACUGGAACUUGAUAUUCAGUGAAUGUGUGAAUUAAAGUAAUGAUGUUUACGGUAUCAAAACCUACAGACACAUUUUACUCAAUGUGCUGUGAAAUUAAAAGAGAAUAUAUGAUAUCAGGUAGCUAUUUAAAACUUGAUGGUAAAUCAUUUUCUGAAGUGCUAAGUAUUUUGAUUUAAGCAUACAAAAUGAUGAACUGGGGCAUGCCACAACAUAUGCUGGUAUGUCUGGGCUUUGAUGGUUUAAAUGUGUUUGAUAUAGAUAAAAUAACAUUUAAAGAGAGCCUCCUGAUCUAACAUUUUAUUGAAAUACACAUAUUUUAUUGAAAUACUUAUUUGCUAAGGGAAGGAAAGAGGGAGGGGCAACACCACUACCAACUGUCUGAUCUCCAUCCAGGACCCGAUGCAGGAAGAAUCCUUGUUUCCUAAGUACCUCCAGGUUUCAGGUUUCAGGAAUCUCUUAGCACUAGCUGUGAUGAAAUUAAUUUAUUUUUAUGGAGGAGUUCUAGUCUCUCUCAAUCUGAAAUUUUUUUUUUUUUUUUUUUUUUUUUUUUUUAAUGAGACAGAGUCUCGCUCUGUCACCCAGGCUGGAGUGCAAUGGCACGAUCUCGGCUCACUGCAAGCUCCACCUCCCGGGUUCACGCCAUUCUCCUGACUCAGCCUCCUGAGUAGCUGGGACUACAGGUGCCUGCCACCACGUCCGGCUAAUUUUUUGUAUUUUUGGUAGAGACGGGGUUUCACCGUGUUAGCCAGGAUGGUCUUGCUCUCCUGACCUCGUGAUCCUCCUGCCUCGGCCUCCCAAAGUGCUGGGAUUACAGGCGUGAGCCACCGCGCCCGGCCUCAAUCUGAAAUUUUUAAAGUCACUGCAAUGCCAAAAUACUUUUACACCAUCAUUUUUCUGUACAAAGCCAUUACCUUGGGUGUUUUUUUUUUUUUCCUUUUUUUUUUUGACAGAGUCUCCCUCUGUCAUCCAGGCUGGAGUGCAGUGGCGUGAUCUCAGCUCAUUGCAACCUCCGCCUCCUGGGUUCAAGUGAUUCUCCUACCUCAGCUUCCUGAGUAGCACAUGCCACCAUGCCCAGCUAAUUUCUGUAUUUUUAGUAGAGAUGGGGUUUCACCAUUUUGGCCAGGCUGGUUUCGAACUCACAACCUCAGGUGAACUGCCUGCCUCAGCCUCCCAAAGUGCUGAGAUUACAGGCGUGCAUCACUGCACCCGGCCUACCCUGGGCUUUUUAAGUAACAUGUAGGCUCUAUGCCUUAGAGGGUUAUGAUGCUAACAGAAAAAAAACACUUUCAGAUUAAGAAAAUUGAUCAAAAGAAAGAACAGUGGCAAGUUUCCUUAAGCAUUAUCUCUCAAUCACAAUGGGGGAUCAACAAUUCCAGUCAACAACCUACUCACACAGCUAUCCUUAGAGACAAUUAAGCCACAGCCUAUUCACACAGAAGUGUACUGUUUUAAAAUGAGCUUUAAACACCAAAGGGGGAAAAGGUUCUAAUGCCCACUUCAAACCCACAUUAACUUCAAUUCAUUUAAUAUUUACUGAAUAUUGUGGCACCAGGAGACAUGCUGGAUCUUGAAGACACAAAAACAAUUAACCAAAAAUUACAACCUAUUUGGUAAAUGUUAUAAAAGAAUGUACAAGAUAAAGACAAAGCAAAGAAAGAGUGUAGUUAACUGUCACAGAGGGAACUGGGACUAAGAAAGGCUUCACAGGAGAAGUUAUCACCUGAACUGAAUUUUGACAGAUGAACAGAAGUUCCUGGGCCGAAAAGAGAACACAGAGGUGUGAGGUAUGGCUGAAUAGUACAAAGAGGCUGCUUUUACAAGUAAAAAUGUGAUAAUGGGGAAAGGAGGGAAGCUGUGAUCCUUGGUCCCUGCCACGUUGUCAGACAGCUUCAUGUCAUGCUAAACAAUCUGAUCUUCAUCAUAGAAGUAGUGAAGAAACACUGAAGGGCUUUAAGCUGAUGAAUGACAUGAUCAGUUUCUUUCUUUCUUUCUUUCCUGCUUGCUUUCCAGCAGACCUUAUUCCCAAAUAGUUCUAAAAUAGUCUCUGAAACACUUGGCCAUCAACCAAUAAACUGAUAAAUACAGGAUGAUAUGAGAAAAUGCAAUGAUAUGAAACUAUCAUUCUCACAUGCAAUUUAAUUAUAAUUUAAUUCCAGCAAUUCAAACACUGAAAGAACACAAAGUUAAAUUGGGCAGUUCUACUAAACACUACUAUCAUUACUUCCACAGUAGCUGGUGGGGAAUUCUCAGUUGCUGGGAUUUUAUAGGUGUUUCCCCCCUUUCCCCUCCCCAUCACGACUACUCAAAUCCAAGUGGACCCUUCUGAACAGAGUGCUACAUAGUAUGAAAGAACAGCAUUGCCUCUUUCCUUAAUGAAUCUGGUGUGUAUCUUUAGCUGAUAGACAGAAAACUGAUGUAACUGCUAUAAUCAUGGCCCAAAUCUAGAAGCCAGAAGGGAUUCAGGCCAAAACUGCUCCUGGACAUAAAUGCUUAACUACAAAGAAGAAUGAUAAUAAGAAGUAAAAAAUGUCAACUACCAAAAAAAAAAUGACAGCCACUGAGUCUUUUUUUAAUUGCUGAGUAAAACGAAUGAACAAGAUUUCAAAGAAUCCCAAAAUGAAGCCAAAACACAGUCUGCAUGGAAUUACAGUCCUGAGCUGUUUUAACGUGUCAUAAUACACUUCUCUGUGCUGGAAGUGGAGUGUAGAAAGCCACAACACUGGCAAGUAAAGAAGGAAGAAGGCAUUUGCUGUAAGUACAUGAAUUUUCAAGCCUUUAUUCGUUUCAUUUAAGGCUAAUGAUAGCAGAGCACUGGAAGAACCAGUUCACUGAGAGGACAUUCAUAACUGAAAAGGGUAAAUGUACUCUUGAGAAUCAAGAGGCUUCCUUUUCUUCAGUAAUACAUAGUCCAUUAUGCAAAUCAACAUUAUACUUAACAUCUACACUUAUACCACCAAGGAGUCAUUAGAGUAACCUCAUGCUGUAAUGAGAGUCUGCAGUGAGCUCAAAGUGCAUCUCAUCUUUUGACAUUAAGGCCAAGGGAAUUAUCUCAACUGAGGCAGUUGGUAACUACUAAAGAUUGCAGAAUAAAAGCCCAUUCAGCCUUUAUACCUUUAUAAAGCUUAAUGAUACAGCAUUACCUAAUGCAAAUCAUUCACUGUUAAACUAAACAAUGGACACCUCAGCUGACAACUACACACAUCAUUUUAAAUCAAGCAUAAGAGCUGCUUGCUGAUCUAGUGUGUUUUGUUGUUGUUGUUUGUUUGUUUUUGAGAUGGAGUCUUGCUCUGGUCACCCAGGCUGGAGUGCAGUGGCGUGAUCUUGGCUCACUGCCAGCUCCACCUCCCGGGUUCAUGCCAUUCUCCUGACUCAGCCUCCUGAGUAGCUGGGACUACAGGCACCUGCCACCACGCCCGGCUAAUUUUUUGUAUUUUUAGUAGAAAUGGGGUUUCACCGUGUUAGCCAGGAUGGUCUCGAUCUCCUGACCUCGUGAUCUGCCUGCCUUGGCCUCCCAAAGUGCUGGGAUUACAGGCGUGAGCCACCGCGCCUGGCCAAGCCAGUGUUCCUUGAGUGCUAAAUUAAGUGAGAAAAGCAGAGCACAUAAUGCUUUCUCUCCCAAUUCUGUAUGCCUCUCCUCUCUUUGAGAGCAUUAAGUUUUUUGACUUACUUUCUCCAUUUACCUUAGAGGGAGAACAGCUGGUAAUCACUUACAUUAACAAGAGACUCCUUGAACUUGAUGUGAAGUCUGUAAUUGGAAAGGGCAAUGAUGGCAUCCUCGGCACGGCCCACAAACUCUGUGCUCUCUCCAUGAAGU